rnacentral:lncRNA from 1 species
CAGAGGAACAGGACACUAUGACCACAGCUCCAGUGAAGAGGACUCUUCCCCCAGAUUCUUCCCCAAAGACCUUCAUGACUUCUCCCUUUCGACGUCCAGACAACAACGUUGUGGGCUCUGUAUGAUGGAAGUAUUUCUGAUCUGGCUUUCACACAGUCGUUGAGGUUGCCUCCAUCUCACUCACUUCCCUCAGGAUAUGCAGAUGGUCUCUGGGCUUGAUGAAAUUUGGUUAGAAGGAAAAGGGAAAAGCCU